GCGGACGUAGCUCAGUUGGUAGAGCGCAAGCUUCCCAAGCUUGAGGUCGCGGGUUCGAACCCCGUCGUCCGCU
rnacentral:tRNA from 1 species